CACUAUCCACCAAUAGAGCUUAUAACAAAUGCCAGUGCAAGUGGACCUAUGCCUUCUUCCUUUGAGAAAACUGACCACUAUAUCAGUAACUAUGACUCCCAGAGCUGUACCCUAUUCCAGGAAUAAUAGCUGUACCUGCAGAGUAGAGAUGCACUGCUGACUCAUCAUAUCCUGCUGCAUUUACUUCCUAUUAUUGGCCUACUUGCUUAUCUCUCUAGCUGGUUGUGUUGAGAGUUCAACCCUAAGACUGGAUGACUACAUUGAAUUACAGUUAUUUUUAGUGCUGUGUUUAACACUGACCAGGAAUUUUUCUCCUAUGGAACCUUAGGUUUGGACAAAUUUUAAACCAUCCUACACUACAAAAGAAGA
rnacentral:lncRNA from 1 species